GACGAACGCUGGCGGCGUGCUUAACACAUGCAAGUCGAGCGGUAAGGCCCUUUCGGGGGUACACGAGCGGCGAACGGGUGAGUAACACGUGGGUGACCUGCCCUCAGCUCUGGGAUAAGCCCGGGAAACUGGGUCUAAUACCGGAUAUGACUCCAUGACGCAUGUUGUGGGGUGGAAAGCCUUGUGCGGCUGAGGAUGGGCCCGCGGCCUAUCAGCUUGUUGGUGGGGUGAUGGCCACCAAGGCGACGACGGGUAGCCGGCCUGAGAGGGCGACCGGCCACACUGGGACUGAGAUACGGCCCAGACUCCUACGGGAGGCAGCAGGUGGGGAAUCUUGCGCAAUGGGCGAAAGCCUGACGCAGCGACGCCGCGUGAGGGAUGACGGCCU
rnacentral:rRNA from 1 species